rnacentral:sRNA from 1 species
CACAAUCCUAAAGUAAGGUAUUCUGCGCCUAGCUAAGAAAACCUCGUUAAAGAUCUACAUGUUCGUUGUUAUAUCGUUGUUCUUCGUCCUGUCGUUUUUAAGUUCGGUCUCUUUUUAUGCUAAACCUGCCAAAUUUGGCACCCAAUUUAAUUUUUACAGGAAGAUAUAAUAUGUCUGAUAAAGUAGUAGGAACUGUUAAGUGGUUCAACGAAGAUAAAGGUUUUGGUUUCAUCGAGCAGCAAGGCGGUCCUGAUGUGUUCGCACAUUUCCGUUCAAUCGUUGGUGACGGCUUCAAGACUCUUAAAGAAGGUCAAAAAGUUGAAUUCACUAUCGGUCAAGGCCAAAAAGGUCCUCAAGCUGAAAACAUUCAAGUUAUCUAAUUCAAUUUAUCAUCAGACUUGUCUGGUGAAUUGAUAAGAAAACUAAGAAAGGCAAUCAUUUGAUUGCCUUUUUUGU